rnacentral:rRNA from 1 species
UACCUACGGGGGGCAGCAGUGGGGAAUUUUGGACAAUGGGCGCAAGCCUGAUCCAGCAAUGCCGCGUGCAGGAUGAAGGCCUUCGGGUUGUAAACUGCUUUUGUACGGAGCGAAAAGGCUCUCUCUAAUACAGGGGGCUCAUGACGGUACCGUAAGAAUAAGCACCGGCUAACUACGUGCCAGCAGCCGCGGUAAUACGUAGGGUGCAAGCGUUAAUCGGAAUUACUGGGCGUAAAGCGUGCGCAGGCGGUUAGGUAAGACAGAUGUGAAAGCCCCGGGCUCAACCUGGGAACUGCAUUUGUGACUGCAUAGCUAGAGUACGGCAGAGGGGGAUGGAAUUCCGCGUGUAGCAGUGAAAUGCGUAGAUAUGCGGAGGAACACCGAUGGCGAAGGCAAUCCCCUGGGCCUGUACUGACGCUCAUGCACGAAAGCGUGGGGAGCAAACAGGAUUAGAUACCCUAGUAGUCUAA